rnacentral:rRNA from 1 species
GAUGAACGCUAGCUACAGGCUUAACACAUGCAAGUCGAGGGGUAACAAGAGGAAAGCUUGCUUUCCUUGUUGACGACCGGCGCACGGGUGAGUAACGCGUAUCCAACCUGCCUAUAACUAGGGAAUAACCUUGCGAAAGUAAGACUAAUACCCUAUGAUUUCCUUUGAUGACAUCAGAUUAGGAAUAAAGAUUUAUCGGUUAUAGAUGGGGAUGCGUCUGAUUAGCUUGUUGGCGGGGUAACGGCCCACCAAGGCAACGAUCAGUAGGGGUUCUGAGAGGAAGGUCCCCCACAUUGGAACUGAGACACGGUCCAAACUCCUACGGGAGGCAGCAGUGAGGAAUAUUGGUCAAUGGGCGGAAGCCUGAACCAGCCAAGUAGCGCGCAGGAUGACGGCCCUAUAGGUUGUAAACUGCUUUAUACAGGAAUAAAGUUAGCCACGUGUGGUUAUUUGUAGGUACUGUAUGAAUAAGGACCGGCUAAUUCCGUGCCAGCCGCCGCAGUAA